GACGAACGCUGGCGGCGUGCUUAACACAUGCAAGUCGAACGGAAAGGCCCUGCUUUUGUGGGGUGCUCGAGUGGCGAACGGGUGAGUAACACGUGAGUAACCUGCCCUUGACUUUGGGAUAACUUAAGGAAACUGGGGCUAAUACCGGAUAGGAGCUCCUGCUUCAUGGUGGGGGUUGGAAAGUUUCGGCGGUUGGGGAUGGACUCGCGGCUUAUCAGCUUGUUGGUGGGGUAGUGGCUUACGAAGGCUGUGACGGGUAGCCGGCCUGAGAGGGUGACCGGCCACAUUGGGACUGAGAUACGGCCAAGACUGCUACGGGAGGCAGCAGCGGGGAAUAUUGCAAAAUGGGCGGAAGCCUGAUGCAGCAACGCCGCGUGCGGGAUGACUGCCUUCGGGUUGUAAACCGCUUUCGCCUGUGACGAAGAGUGAGUGACGGUAAUGGGUAAAGAAGCAACGGCUAACUACGUG
rnacentral:rRNA from 1 species